UCUUGGUCAUUUAGAGGAAGUAAAAGUCGUAACAAGGUCUCCGUUGGUGAACCAGCGGAGGGAUCAUUACCGAGUUUACAACUCCCAAACCCAAUGUGAACGUUACCAAACUGUUGCCUCGGCGGGGUCACGCCCCGGGUGCGUAAAAGCCCCGGAACCAGGCGCCCGCCGGAGGAACCAACCAAACUCUUUCUGUAGUCCCCUCGCGGACGUAUUUCUUACAGCUCUGAGCAAAAAUUCAAAAUGAAUCAAAACUUUCAACAACGGAUCUCUUGGUUCUGGCAUCGAUGAAGAACGCAGCGAAAUGCGAUAAGUAAUGUGAAUUGCAGAAUUCAGUGAAUCAUCGAAUCUUUGAACGCACAUUGCGCCCGCCAGUAUUCUGGCGGGCAUGCCUGUCCGAGCGUCAUUUCAACCCUCGAACCCCUCCGGGGGAUCGGCGUUGGGGAUCGGGACCCCUCACCGGGUGCCGGCCCUGAGAUACAGUGGCGGUCUCGCCGCAGCCUCUCCUGCGCAGUAGUUUGCACAACUCGCACCGGGAGCGCGGCGCGUCCACGUCCGUAAAACACCCAACUUCUGAAAUGUUGACCUCGGAUCAGGUAGGAAUACCCGCUGAACUUAAGCAUAUCAAUAAGCGGAGGA
rnacentral:rRNA from 1 species